rnacentral:rRNA from 1 species
UACGUAGGGACCAAGCGUUGUUCGGAUUUACUGGGCGUAAAGGGCGCGUAGGCGGCAAUUCAAGUCAUCUGUGAAAUCUCCGGGCUUAACUCGGAACGGUCAGAUGAUACUGCUUUGCUAGAGUGCAGAAGGGGCAAUCGGAAUUCUUGGUGUAGCGGUGAAAUGCGCAGAUAUCAGGAAGAACACCAAUGGCGAAGGCAGCUCUCUGGGACGGUACUGACGCUGAGACGCGAAAGCGUGGGGAGCGAACAGG